rnacentral:rRNA from 1 species
CGGGAGGCAGCAGUGGGGAAUAUUGCACAAUGGGGGAAACCCUGAUGCAGCGACGCCGCGUGAGUGAAGAAGUAUUUCGGUAUGUAAAGCUCUAUCAGCAGGGAAGAAAGUGACGGUACCUGACUAAGAAGCCCCGGCUAACUACGUGCCAGCAGCCGCGGUAAUACGUAGGGGGCAAGCGUUAUCCGGAUUUACUGGGUGUAAAGGGAGCGUAGACGGCAUGGCAAGCCAGAUGUGAAAGCCCGGGGCUCAACCCCGGGACUGCAUUUGGAACUGUCAGGCUAGAGUGUCGGAGAGGAAAGCGGAAUUCCUAGUGUAGCGGUGAAAUGCGUAGAUAUUAGGAGGA